AUGCCAGAAGAAACACAAGGCUUAGAGCUCAGAGCUGAUAUAAAGGGCAAAGCAGAUGUCCCUAUUGUUCAAGUUGGCACUUCCACUGAUGGGCACCAUAAAGGUUUGGACCUGUGGAUUCAGCACUUUGCUCCAGCAACACAGGGAGAAGUAAACACAUUCAAAAUUGACAUACCUGCUCCAAGUUGUAAAGAAAUAAUGUUGGGUCUGGGAAAGGAAAAUGAGGGUAUAAGCUCUACUGCUCACUCCUCAAGUAGAACUGGAAGCCCACUCAAGCAAGUGUCCCCCAAUAAAGUCAUCCAGUUGCCACUAGGUGAAGCUGUCUCAAGGAAAAGAAGAGAUAAAGAGCCGCUUGUGGAGACUCGAGAAAGAAGGAGUGAUCUAAUUAAGAAAGACAACAAUGGUUAUAGAAGGAAAUCAUGUGAUGCUACCUCUUGCUUACAUUGUAAUGCUAUUCCACCCAUUGUGCACAACAAAGUGGUAAAACAUCUGGCAAAAACAUUUUGCAAAGUGUCUGAGGAUGAGGUACAGGACAAGCUUUCAAAGAGUCCCAAGAAGAAGGGCCAAGAGGAUGUGGCCAAGGUCUCCAAGGUCACUGGUGCUACAACUCCUUAG
rnacentral:rRNA from 1 species